GGAAAACAUAAAAUAAAAUCAGCUUACUGAAAUGCCAAUAACAUUUUAGGAUAUGGCUUGCCAAAAGUUCCCCAAACGACUUUAACCUAUGAGCCUGCCACUUACAAUUAGAAUUUUACAUUUAAAAUAAGGUAGAAAAUACAACAAAAGGCGGAUGUGCCCUGAAGGAUAAUUUUGAUGCCCAAGUGAUAAGACAGACAACUCCAAAAUAGAAACAAACACAAGAUUGAGCAGAUAUCAGAAGAUGUAGCUGUGAUUAUUUUUUUUUAAAGAAAUAAGUCAAGGAAACUCUCUCUGAGGAUGCAUUCGACCUUGGAUCCGUGACCUUGACAUACUAAUUGUAGGCAAAUCAGAACUGGCAGACAUUCAUAUCUGAUCACAUAGUCUGGAUAGUAAGAAGAGUAACAGCCAAAAUUAGUUAAGUCAAUUUAUAUUGUUUAGGUAUUGUUUUGGGCAUGUUCCUACUAAAAAUGUUAAAGAAGUCAUAUAAGGUAAUAGAUCAAAUGUUUAAUUCAAACUGGCUUAUAUAAUACACCCAAAGAGGAGUCUUUAAUGUAGCAAAAGAAAAAUAGGAGGCUGAAUAUCUAUGAAUGUUUUAUUCAUUAAAUAUAUAAAAAGUUCUUAAAGCCUUAAGG
rnacentral:lncRNA from 1 species